UCGGGAAUUUUGGGCAAUGGGCGAAAGCCUGACCCAGCAACGCCGCGUGUGGGAUGAAGGCCCUCGGGUCGUAAACCACUGUCAGGAGGAAAGAAAAGUCGGCCGGAUAAUACUCGGUCGACCUGACGGUACCUCCAAAGGAAGCACCGGCUAACUCCGUGCCAGCAGCCGCGGUAAUACGGAGGGUGCAAGCGUUGUUCGGAAUUACUGGGCGUAAAGCGCGUGUAGGUGGUCGAGUAAGUCGAAUGUGAAAGCCCCGGGCUCAACCCGGGAAGUGCAUCCGAAACUGCUCGACUAGAGUCCCGGAGAGGAAGGCAGAAUUCCCAAUGUAGGGGUGAAAUCCGUAGAUAUUGGGAGGAAUACCGGUGGCGAAGGCGGCCUUCUGGACGGUGACUGACACUCAGACGCGAAAGCGUGGGGAGCAAACAGGAUUAGAUACCCUCGUAGUCCCUGAGCGGGCUGGCAAGGCGCAU
rnacentral:rRNA from 1 species